CUUUGACCUACAAUUUUGCUUUUAAUAGAAUAACUGUAGAACUUGCUGAGACGAGCUCAACCAUACCCGGAAAAUUGUGUUACGACCACUAGAAGCCGAGAUAAUUGCGUUUUUUGAUUUUUUCAAAAUGUCCCAUAAAACCCGCAAUUUUGAAAAUUUUUUGAUAAAAAUUUAGGAAACUUGCCUUGGAACUAAGAUGAUCAAGUGGUGAAAAUCUCAUAUUGAUAUCUUCAACUUGGGGCGGGGUAUAUGAGAACAGAAAGAAUUGGACUAAAUUUAUAUUCCUAUUUGGGGACAGACCUAUAAAAAAUCCGGCGUAUGGGCGCAUGGGAUGUCACUCUACUGACUCUACCCCUAGAGGUUGUUUUAAAUUUCUUUGCCUAAAUUUUGUUUUUAUCAAGGCGCUCAAUUAUUUUUACGACCUGAGGCAAAACAAGUCAGGGUCAAUGAAAUGUUUAUCAAUCAAAUUAUAAUUUUCUAGAUGCAUCUAGAAAGUUCUCAAUGUAAAUCAAAUUGGUGGGUGGGCUUCAAAUGACCCUCCCAGGGCUGCAACCCGCACUAUAAAAAGCGCUCCGUCCGCUGGCCCAAGCAGAAAGGCUGACAGACCUCAGAGAAAUCAGAGGACACCUGGACCUCCUGGACACCCAUUGCAGUUUUAGACGCCCGUCUGAUCCCUUCGCACCCGUCCGAGCCGUCCCAUGGCUCCGACCGCUGUCCUGUCCCGACGCUGUCUCGUCCGAGAACAGCCGGAAGGCCGACCGCGUCCCGAGCCCCUCGAGCGACACACCUGUGUCCCUCGUACUGUCCAGGGUGCGGCUGAGCCGUCCGAAGCCGUUCAGAGCAGCUUUGCCAGCUCCUUAUUCCUGUCCGAGGAAUCGGGAGCCGACGUGGCACGCCGCCAGCGAGCGUUUGGACGAAGGCGUACGAAUAUCAGCCGCCAAAGACCAGCACGCCGUGGGCCCCGGCCGCGCCGAGAGCCGCCGCCGACCUGCAGGGAGCCGCCGGGUUCCCAGCAAGUGUUCACGGAGCCUGUGUUAGAAUGUAUGGACAUUAGAAGAAAUUCAACCAAUCAGCAGAAACAACUGAUACGAGGAUGACUCCAGACAGAUGUGGACAGCUUUGUGCCAUUGCAAUUGCAAAUGAGCUGUAUGAUGGGAUGGAUAUAUCCAUAUGGCAUUAUUUCCUGUGCUGCCAGUGGUUUACCUCGUUCUAUAUUUGCCAAACUUGGCUCGAUUGAUAUUUGGAUUUCUGGGGCCUCGUCGGCUGCAGAAACUGAGAGACUCCAAAGAGACUGUUCCCAGUCCUAACAAGAAUAGCACUUUUUCAUAAGAAAUUCUCAUUUCAUAAUAUUUUAAUCAAUCGCCAUUAUAAUUUUAAGUAUCUUGAUAUUAAGACAAGCA